GUAUUCUAUGGGGUGCAAGCUUUAAGUGCAACUUAAGUACUAAUUUAUUUAUCAGACCCUUAUGUAAUUUGUGCAUUACUGCUAGCCAACAUGAAUGUUAUAUA
rnacentral:ncRNA from 1 species